GACGAACGCUGGCGGCGUGCUUAACACAUGCAAGUCGAACGGAAAGGCCUGCUUUCCCUUGUGGAUUGCGGGUACUCGAGUGGCGAACGGGUGAGUAACACGUGAGUGAUCUGCCCCCAACUUGGGUAUAAGCCUGGGAAACUGGGUCUAAUUCCCGAUAGGACUGCAGGGUGGUGCCUACGGUGGAAUACGAUUUUCUAGUGGUUGGGGAUGAGCUCGCGGCCUAUCAGCUUGUUGGUGGGGUAAUGGCCUACCAAGGCGGCGACGGGUAGCCGGCCUGUGAGGGUGGACGGCCACAUUGGGACUGAGAUACGGCCCAGACGCCUACGGGAGGCAGCAGUGGGGAAUAUUGCACAAUGGGCGGAAGCCUGAUGCAGCGACGCCGCGUGGGAGAUGACGGCCUUCGGGUUGUAAUCUCCUUUCGACCGCGAGGAAGCCACCUGGUUGGAAGGGUGGUGACGGUAGUGGUAGAAGAAGCACCGGCUAACUACGUG
rnacentral:rRNA from 1 species